rnacentral:rRNA from 1 species
UACGUAGGGGGCGAGCGUUGUCCGGAAUUAUUGGGGCGUAAAGGGUUCGCAGGCGGUCUGAUAAGUCAGAUGUGAAAGACUAUGGCUUAACCAUGGUAAGCAUUUGAAACUGUCAGACUUGAGUUAAGGAGAGGAAAGUGGAAUUCCUAGUGUAGCGGUGAAAUGCGUAGAUAUUAGGAGGAAUACCAGUGGCGAAGGCGACUUUCUGGCCAGUUACUGACGCUCAUGCGCGAAAGCUGGGGUAGCGAACCGGAUUAGAUACCCCCGUAGUCCCUGA